rnacentral:rRNA from 1 species
GACGAACGCUGGCGGUGUGCUUCACACAUGCAAGUCGAACGAGUGACUGCUUUGUAGCAAUACAAAGUAGAAGCUAGUGGCGGACGGGUGAGUAACGCGUAGGAAUCUGCCUUUGAGUGGGGGAUAGCAGACCGAAAGGUCUAUUAAUACCGCAUACGUAUAUACUUCGACAGUUGUAUAUAUAAAAAGAGCAAUCUGCUCAUAGAUGAGCCUGCGUCCGAUUAGCUAGUUGGUAGUGUAAUAGACUACCAAGGCGACGAUCGGUAGGUGGUCUGAGAGGAUGAUCACCCACAAUGGAACUAAGACACGGUCCA